rnacentral:rRNA from 1 species
CCCUUAGAUGUCCGGGGCCGCACGCGCGCUACACUGAAGGAAUCAGCGUGGCUUUCUCCCUGACCCGAAAGGGUUGGGAAACCCGUUGAAUCUCCUUCGUGAUAGGGAUUGGGGCUUGAAAUUGUUCCCCAUGAACGAGGAAUUCCCAGUAAGCGCGAGUCAUAAGCUCGCGUUGAUUACGUCCCUGCGCUUUGUACACACCGCCCGUCGCUACUACCGAUUGAACGGUUUAGUGAGGGCCUCGGAUUGGUCUCGGCCCGCUCUUUACCGGGCGGCGCCGUUGGUCGAGAAGACGCUCGAACUUGAUCGUUUAGAGGAAGUAAAAGUCGUAACA